rnacentral:tRNA from 1 species
GGGGAAUUAGCUCAAGCAGUAGAGCGCUUGCUUUACAUGCGAGAGGUAGUGGGGUUGAUACCCACAUUCUCCA